rnacentral:rRNA from 1 species
ACUCCUACGGGAGGCAGCAGUGGGGAAUAUUGCACAAUGGGGGAAACCCUGAUGCAGCCAUGCCGCGUGUAUGAAGAAGGCCUUCGGGUUGUAAAGUACUUUCAGCAGUGAGGAAGGCGGAGUCGUUAAUAGCGGCCUCGUUUGACGUUAGCUGCAGAAGAAGCACCGGCUAACUCCGUGCCAGCAGCCGCGGUAAUACGGAGGGUGCGAGCGUUAAUCGGAAUUACUGGGCGUAAAGCGCAAUGCAGGUGGUUUGUUAAGUCAGAUGUGAAAGCCCGGGGCUCAACCUCGGAAUUGCAUUUGAAACUGGCAGACUAGAGUACUGUAGAGGGGGGUAGAAUUUCAGGUGUAAGCGGUGAAAUGCGUAGAGAUCUGAAGGAAUACCGGUGGCGAAGGCGGCCCCCUGGACAGAUACUGACACUCAGAUGCGAAAG